rnacentral:pre_miRNA from 1 species
GAUGGUAGAGUACAAGAUUGUAGAGUGCAAGAUUGUAGAGUGCAAGAUUGUAUUACCAUCUUGCACUCUACAAUCUUGUACUUUACCAUC